rnacentral:lncRNA from 1 species
AAAAAAUUAGCCGGGCAUGGUGGCGGGCGCCUGUAGUCCCCGCAACUUGGGAGGCUGAGGCAGGAGAAUGGUGCGAACCCGGGAGGCAGAUCUUGCAGAGAGACGAGAUCGUGCCACUGCACUCCAGCCUGGGCGACAGAGCAAGACUCCGUCUCAAAAUAAACAACAAACAAACAAAUAUGGAACAUUCUGAUAUGAAUAAGACACUUGCUCACUUCUCAAUUCCUUGGUGUCCAGGCUCCCGCACAAAUGAACCAUGUUCUUCGCCUAAGUCAUUUAUGGAACAUCUGCUUUCGGUUUAGCAUCAGGGGAAACAAAGCAAAGAAGAAUGACACCGAAGAAUCAAAAAUAAAAUGAGCAUAAGACCCAUCAAGAUUAUAGACACAUACAUUCCUAAAAUUGAACAUUAAGCAGAAUAAAAAUAAUCCCAGAUUAUAUGGUCUGACAUGCCAGAAGAAAUAAAAAGCUAAGGAAUUAGUUAAAAUCUGUGCAAAAACAAAAACAAAAAACCACUAUGACUAGAAAAAGC